CUCGUUGGGAUUACACGAAGAAGAGUCUUCAAAGGAUUCACAUCAUUUAAGCUCGAAAGGGGAGAUGGACAGAAGAACUGCCAGAAGUAUUGUGGUUGUACUGCACGACUCUAAGAGGUUCCACUGGUGAAACUCCAUCCGAACUAGCUUUCGGAUCGGAGGCUGUGGUUCUAGUGGAGUUGGGCAUUCCGACAUAGAGGAUCGAGAGUACGAAACCCUUGGAUGAUGAAGCUCUCCUCUUGAACCUUAUAUUUCCUGGACGAGCAAAGAGAGUCCUCACAAAUCCGACUCGCUGAAUAUCAAAAUUGGGUGGAUCGAUAGUUUAACACCUGUGUCAAACCUCGUUCGUUCAAAGUCGGACAACUUGUUCUUCGGAGGAAGCAACAACAUAUGAGAGCCUUAGCACCAGUUUGGGAAGCCCCCUUCGAGGUCAAAACCACCAUGCGACCUGACAUUUAUAUGUUCAUAGACCUCUCUGGCAAGCUCAUUCCACACCUAUAGAAUGUCGAGUAUUUAAAACAAUAUUUUUACUGAAUUGUAACACAACCCUCACCUAAGAAAAUGUAAAGAAGUUUAGUUGAAAA